UGGGGAAUAUUGGACAAUGGGCGAAAGCCUGAUCCAGCCAUGCCGCGUGUGUGAAGAAGGUCUUCGGAUUGUAAAGCACUUUAAGUUGGGAGGAAGGGCAUUAACCUAAUACGUUAGUGUUUUGACGUUACCGACAGAAUAAGCACCGGCUAACUCUGUGCCAGCAGCCGCGGUAAUACAGAGGGUGCAAGCGUUAAUCGGAAUUACUGGGCGUAAAGCGCGCGUAGGUGGUUUGUUAAGUUGGAUGUGAAAUCCCCGGGCACAACUGGGGGACUGCAUUCAAAACUGACUGACUAGAGUAUGGUAGAGGGUGGUGGAAUUUCCUGUGUAGCGGUGAAAUGCGUAGAUAUAGGAAGGAACACCAGUGGCGAAGGCGACCACCUGGACUAAUACUGACACUGAGGUGCGAAAGCGUGGGGAGCAAACA
rnacentral:rRNA from 1 species